GUGAAAGUUUGUCUCUUUACAGCCAGAAGUUCAUGGAAAGCGUGCACAUAUGAAGAUCAUGAAGAACAUGAACUAAAUCUACAUUUAGGUGCUCUGAGAUGUCCACACGGCAGGAGUGCUCAGGCAUUUGGAGGGAACCCUGGAGAAGAAAGAAAACAGAACUCUACUUCUCCUCCUAAACAUCAUUUGGAGACAGAGAACUGCCCAGCACAUUGAUCUCUUCAUUAAAUUGAGGAUCUUUGUCAUCAUGGCGCUUGUGUGUGUUUGAUUGGAGAAUUUCCCGGCUUUAAUAUGAGCAGAGAAGAUCGUUUCUAGUAUGUUUUGUGGAAAAUAAAGUUCCUCAGGUUG